rnacentral:rRNA from 1 species
UGACGAAGCGACGCCGCGUGCGGGAAGAAGGCCUUCGGGUUGUAAACCGCUGUCGGGAGUUAAGAAAUGCAAGGAUGUUAAUAGUAUCUUUGCUUGACUAAGGCUCCGGAGGAAGCCACGGCUAACUCUGUGCCAGCAGCCGCAGUAAUACAGAGGCGGCAAGCGUUGUUCGGAAUUAUUGGGCGUAAAGAGCACGUAGGCGGCUAUGUAAGUCGGUUGUGAAAGCCUUCCGCUCAACGGAAGAACAGCAUCCGAUACUGCAUGGCUUGAGUGCGGGAGGGGAGAGUGGAACUUCUGGUGGAGCGGUGAAAUGCGUAGAUAUCAGAAGGAACGCCGGCGGCGAAAGCGGCUCUCUGGCCCAUAACUGACGCUGAGUGUGCGAAAGCUAGGGGAGCAAACGGGAUUAGAUACCCCGGUAGUCCUAGCCGUAAACGAU